rnacentral:rRNA from 1 species
GGUGGAGCGAUUUGUCUGGUUUAUUCCGAUAACGAACGAGACUCUAGCCUACUAAAUAGUGACUGGAUUGCUUCUGUCCAGAAUACUUCUUAGAGGGACAAGUGGUGUUCAGCCACACGAAAUUGAGCAAUAACAGGUCUGUGAUGCCCUUAGAUGUCCGGGGCUGCACGCGCGCUACACUGGAGAAAUCAGCGUGCUAUACCAUUGUCGAAAGUCAUUGGUAAACCGAUCAAAAUUCUCCGUGAUCGGGAUCGGGAAUUGCAAUUAUUUCCCUUGAACGAGGAAUUCCCAGUAAGUGUGGGUCAUCAGCUCACGCUGAAUACGUCCCUGCCCUUUGUAC